UACGUAGGGUGCGAGCGUUAUUCGGAAUUACUGGGCGUAAAGCGCGCGUAGGCGGCUUUGUAAGUUAGAGGUGAAAGCCCGGGGCUCAACCCCGGAAUUGCCUUUAAGACUGCAUCGCUUGAAUCCGGGAGAGGUGAGUGGAAUUCCGAGUGUAGAGGUGAAAUUCGUAGAUAUUCGGAAGAACACCAGUGGCGAAGGCGGCUCACUGGACCGGUAUUGACGCUGAGGUGCGAAAGCGUGGGGAGCAAACAGG
rnacentral:rRNA from 1 species